rnacentral:rRNA from 1 species
UACGAAGGGGGCUAGCGUUGUUCGGAUUUACUGGGCGUAAAGCGCACGUAGGCGGAUUGUUAAGUCGGGGGUGAAAUCCUGGAGCUUAACUCCAGAAUUGCCUUCGAUACUGGCUUUCUAGAGGCUGGAAGAGGUUAGUGGAAUUCCCAGUGUAGAGGUGAAAUUCGUAGAUAUUGGGAAGAACACCAGUGGCGAAGGCGGCUAACUGGUCCAGAUCUGACGCUGAGGUGCGAAAGCGUGGGGAGCAAACAGG